rnacentral:rRNA from 1 species
GUAGGUGGCAAGCGUUGUCCGGAAUUAUUGGGCGUAAAGCGCGCGCAGGCGGUCCUUUAAGUCUGAUGUGAAAGCCCACGGCUCAACCGUGGAGGGUCAUUGGAAACUGGGGGACUUGAGUACAGAAGAGGAAAGCGGAAUUCCACGUGUAGCGGUGAAAUGCGUAGAGAUGUGGAGGAACACCAGUGGCGAAGGCGGCUUUCUGGUCUGUAACUGACGCUGAGGCGCGAAAGCGUGGGAAGCAAACAGGGAUUAGAUACCCUGGUAGUCCACGCCGUAAACGAUGAGUGCUAAGUGUUAGGGGGUUUCCCGCCCCUUAGUGCUGCAGCUAACGCAUUAAGCACUCCGCCUGGGGAGUACGCCGCAAGGCUG